GAUGAACGCUAGCUACAGGCUUAACACAUGCAAGUCGAGGGGCAGCAUGGUCUUAGCUUGCUAAGACUGAUGGCGACCGGCGCACGGGUGAGUAACACGUAUCCAACCUGCCGUCUACUCUUGGACAGCCUUCUGAAAGGAAGAUUAAUACAAGAUGGCAUCAUGAGUCCGCAUGUUCACAUGAUUAAAGGUAUUCCGGUAGACGAUGGGGAUGCGUUCCAUUAGAUAGUAGGCGGGGUAACGGCCCACCUAGUCUUCGAUGGAUAGGGGUUCUGAGAGGAAGGUCCCCCACAUUGGAACUGAGACACGGUCCAAACUCCUACGGGAGGCAGCAGUGAGGAAUAUUGGUCAAUGGGCGAGAGCCUGAACCAGCCAAGUAGCGUGAAGGAUGACUGCCCUAUGGGUUGUAAACUUCUUUUAUAAAGGAAUAAAGUCGGGUAUGUAUACCCGUUUGCAUGUACUUUAUGAAUAAGGAUCGGCUAACUCCGUGCCAGCAGCCGCGGUAAUACGGAGGAUCCGAGCGUUAUCCGGAUUUAUUGGGUUUAAAGGGAGCGUAGAUGGAUGUUUAAGUCAGUUGUGAAAGUUUGCGGCUCAACCGUAAAAUUGCAGUUGAUACUGGAUAUCUUGAGUGCAGUUGAGGCAGGCGGAAUUCGUGGUGUAGCGGUGAAAUGCUUAGAUAUCACGAAGAACUCCGAUUGCGAAGGCAGCCUGCUAAGCUGCAACUGACAUUGAGGCU
rnacentral:rRNA from 1 species